rnacentral:rRNA from 1 species
AGAGUUUGAUCCUGGCUCAGGAUGAACGCUAGCUACAGGCUUAACACAUGCAAGUCGAGGGGAAACGGCAUUGAGUGCUUGCACUCUUUGGACGUCGACCGGCGCACGGGUGAGUAACGCGUAUCCAACCUUCCCAUUACUGUGGGAUAACCUGCCGAAAGGCAGACUAAUACCGCAUAGUCUUCGUUGAUGGCAUCAGAUAUGAAGUAAAGAUUUAUCGGUAAUGGAUGGGGAUGCGUCUGAUUAGCUUGUUGGCGGGGUAACGGCCCACCAAGGCAACGAUCAGUAGGGGUUCUGAGAGGAAGGUCCCCCACAUUGGAACUGAGACACGGUCCAAACUCCUACGGGAGGCAGCAGUGAGGAAUAUUGGUCAAUGGACGGAAGUCUGAACCAGCCAAGUAGCGUGCAGGAUGACGGCCCUAUGGGUUGUAAACUGCUUUUGUAUGGGGAUAAAGUUAGGGACGUGUCCCUAUUUGCAGGUACCAUACGAAUAAGGACCGGCUAAUUCCGUGCCAGCAGCCGCGGUAAUACGGAAGGUCCAGGCGUUAUCCGGAUUUAUUGGGUUUAAAGGGAGCGUAGGCUGGAGAUUAAGUGUGUUGUGAAAUGUAGACGCUCAACGUCUGAAUUGCAGCGCAUACUGGUUUCCUUGAGUACGCACAACGUUGGCGGAAUUCGUCGUGUAGCGGUGAAAUGCUUAGAUAUGACGAAGAACUCCGAUUGCGAAGGCAGCUGACGGGAGCGCAACUGACGCUUAAGCUCGAAGGUGCGGGUAUCAAACAGGAUUAGAUACCCUGGUAGUCCGCACAGUAAACGAUGGAUGCCCGCUGUUGGUACCUGGUAUCAGCGGCUAAGCGAAAGCAUUAAGCAUCCCACCUGGGGAGUACGCCGGCAACGGUGAAACUCAAAGGAAUUGACGGGGGCCCGCACAAGCGGAGGAACAUGUGGUUUAAUUCGAUGAUACGCGAGGAACCUUACCCGGGCUUGAAUUGCAGAGGAAGGAUUUAGAGAUAAUGACGCCCUUCGGGGUCUCUGUGAAGGUGCUGCAUGGUUGUCGUCAGCUCGUGCCGUGAGGUGUCGGCUUAAGUGCCAUAACGAGCGCAACCCCUCUCUUCAGUUGCCAUCAGGU